CUACGGGUCGCUGCAGUGAGGAAUAUUGCACAAUGGGGGGAACCCUGAUGCAGCAACGCCGCGUGGAGGAUGACGCAUUUCGGUGUGUAAACUCCUUUUAUAUGUCAAGAAAAUGACGGUAGCAUAUGAAUAAGCACCGGCUAACUCCGUGCCAGCAGCCGCGGUAAUACGGAGGGUGCAAGCGUUACUCGGAAUCACUGGGCGUAAAGGACGCGUAGGCGGGUUGGAAAGUCAGGUGUGGAAUCCUACAGCUUAACUGUAGAACUGCACUUGAAACUUCUAAUCUAGAGUAUGGGAGGGGGAGAUGGAAUUAGUGGUGUAGGGGUAAAAUCCGUAGAUAUCACUAGGAAUACCUAACGCGAAGGCGAUCUCCUGGAACAUUACUGACGCUAAGGCGUGAAAGCGUGGGGAGCAAACAGGAUUAGAUACCCCUGUAGUC
rnacentral:rRNA from 1 species